UAUAAGUCGUUCUAAGUUGUCAGCAUAUUUUAUAAAAAAUUCUUAUAUAUCACUGAAACAUCAAAAAACUUAGUAAGGGAGAAAGAAUAUGUAAAUUUUUAAAAAGUACCGCAAGGGAAUAUAACUAACAUAAAAAAGUAGUUACUAUAACGUACUUUUUGUAUCACGAUCUAGCAAGAAAAGAUCAGAACUCUGCUUUCUCGAAAGUUAGUGAGCUAUUUUUUUUAAGGCCAUUAGUCCUUUAAUUUUAAAUGUAGCAAAAUUUAAGUAAUAGAAAAAAAUAGAGAUGAAAUUUCAUCCGCACUAGCGAUAGCUAGUUUCUCCGAAAAGAUAUAAAAGUGUCGAGGAAAAGUUUAAUUUAUAAUAUUAAUUAUUAUAUAUACACUCUUUUUUAUUAAUUUUUUUGAGGAUAAGCUCAGAAAAAAGUUAAGAUAUUUUCAGCUAAAAUCACUGUGUGGGCUUAAAAUUGGCCACCAUAAAAGUUUGUUAUAAAAUAGUAAUCUUAAUUUAGAAAAUAAAUAUAAUUUAAUCUAAAUCAUUACGGGGACAAGAGCUUUAAUUAAAAUUAAGUUCUAUGCCUAUGCUAGAAUGAGUAUUAAAACCUAAUUAUAAAAGAAAUAUUAGUUUAUUUUUCUUCAAAAAAAAUUCUAAAAAAAAUUAAUUAAUUAGAAGGAAUUCGGCAAGUUUAAUUGCUUCGCCUGUUUAUCAAAAACAUGGCUCUUUGCUCACAUAAAUAUAAAGAGUCGAGCCUGCCCAGUGAAUUUUUUUUUAACGGCCGCGGUACUCUGACCGUGCAAAGGUAGCAUAAUCAUUUGCCUUAUAAUUGAAGGCUAGUAUGAAUGGUUUGACGAGAGCAAUACUGUCUCCUUUUUAUUUUCAAAAACUUAACUUUUAGGUGAAGAGGCCUAAAUUUUAUUGAAGGACAAGAAGACCCUGUCGAGCUUAAAAGACAUUAUAGGAGUCUAAUAUAUUUUUAAAUAAAUUUUCUAUUAGGCUUUUUAGUUGGGGCGACUAGGGAACAAAAAAAGCUUCUUUCUAAUAAAUAAACAAUCAUGUUUAGAUCCGAUAAUAGCGAUCAAAGAAAUUAGUUACCGCAGGGAUAACAGCAUAAUCUCUCUUAAGAGACCUAAUCGAAAGAGGGGGUUGUGACCUCGAUGUUGGACUAGAAUAUCCUAAAGAUGCAGAAGUCUUUAAGGGUCGGUCUGUUCGACCGUUAAAAUUCUACAUGAUCUGAGUUCAGACCGGCGUGAGCCAGGUCAGUUUCUAUCCUCAAUUUUUUUAUCUGCGCCUAGUACGAAAGGAUCGGCUCAGGAAGUGUAAGCUUUUAUUAAGAAUUAAAAUAAUAACAAAAUAAAUUUUAUUAUCAAAUUAGCAAAG
rnacentral:rRNA from 1 species